rnacentral:lncRNA from 1 species
GUGGGGCGACCUGUGAGGCGAACUGCAGCUAUCAAGAUGUUCUGAAUCACUUGAAGCUGACCAAAGACAUCAACCUGUUCCACAUGAUCCGGCCUGUUAGAGACCCCCGAUCCACCACAGAGGUUCACCUGAGUUUGCUGCUCUACGCCAUUCUUGAGGUGGUAAGUGGCUGCUUGGAAUGAUGAAUUAUAAACUAUUCAUUUCUACGUUUAAGUGGGUCACAUUGGUCCCCUUUGUUUUCUGUUUGUCUGUAUCUGGUGGAAAGUUAAGGCAAGGAGCAAAUAGCCCCGGUAAGCCUGGAUGUUUCUCUAGGUGUGGUGAGGAGUUUAGAGCGUUCAAAGUAUAAGGUCCCAGUUCUUCCUGCUUCGUAUGAACUUUUAGAAGUUUUCACACAUAUUUUGUUUUUCUCACAGAAAGAGAAGGACCAGAAAUUUGUACCUUACGUCUGGAUCACCAUGGUGAGUUCUCGCACCUUUUCACGAAUUUCCAACCCUCUCGCAAACUCACGCACAACUCCUCUGGUUUUCCUCUGCAGUGGUGGAAGAACGAUCACAUUGGUUGGAAUCCUGAUGAAUUUUGUGGGAUCCAGUCUGUGUCCAUCCCCAAUGAACUACUGUGGAAGCCCGAUCUCACCAUUGAGGAGAUGACGGAGAUUGACAAGGCCCCUCCUAGUCCUUAUCUCACCAUUACAAGUGAGGGUAACGUCACGCUUAUGAACGACCAGGUACUGACCAGCACCUGCAGGAUGCAAAUUUACAAAUUCCCCUUCGACACUCAGAGCUGCAACCUCACCAUCAAGUCCUUCAUUCACUCUGACAACGAAAUCAAGCUCCUCCAGUACUCCAACUCUUCGGAGGCCACGGAGGACUCUCGCGGGGUGAUGCGGAUCCAGUCCGAGUGGCUGUUCAUCAACAUGACAGUGACCAGCAUAACUGUCAACUACUAUAGCUUUAACCAGACGUUCGUCAUUUACACUGUAAGUGCUUCUGAAAGUUGCCUGGUUGUUAGACAUACAUUCACUGCAUAA